rnacentral:rRNA from 1 species
CGCUUCUUUCUCCCGAGUGCUUGCACUCAAUUGGAAAGAGGAGUGGCGGACGGGUGAGUAACACGUGGGUAACCUACCCAUCAGAGGGGGAUAACACUUGGAAACAGGUGCUAAUACCGCAUAACAGUUUAUGCCGCAUGGCAUAAGAGUGAAAGGCGCUUUCGGGUGUCGCUGAUGGAUGGACCCGCGGUGCAUUAGCUAGUUGGUGAGGUAACGGCUCACCAAGGCCACGAUGCAUAGCCGACCUGAGAGGGUGAUCGGCCACACUGGGACUGAGACACGGCCCAGACUCCUACGGGAGGCAGCAGUAGGGAAUCUUCGGCAAUGGACGAAAGUCUGACCGAGCAACGCCGCGUGAGUGAAGAAGGUUUUCGGAUCGUAAAACUCUGUUGUUAGAGAAGAACAAGGACGCUAGUAACUGAACGUCCCCUGACGGUACCUAACCAGAAAGCCACGGCUAACUACGUGCCAGCAGCCGCGGUAAUACGUAGGUGGCAAGCGUUGUCCGGAUUUAUUGGGCGUAAAGCGAGCGCAGGCGGUUUCUUAAGUCUGAUGUGAAAGCCCCCGGCUCAACCGGGGAGGGUCAUUGGAAACUGGGAGACUUGAGUGCAGAAGAGGAGAGUGGAAUUCCAUGUGUAGCGGUGAAUGCGUAGAUAUAUGGAGGAACACAGUGGCGAAGCGGCUCUCUGGUCUGUACUGACGCU